rnacentral:lncRNA from 1 species
CAAAGCUACAUAGGAAAAUCCUGUCUCAAAAUCCAAACAAAUAAACAAAAAAAUUGUAUGUAUGAGUGUGUACUUCUAUAUUGGCUUUGUGAAUAUGGGUGUAGUGUCUGCAGAAGCCAGAAGAGAGCAUUCUGUUCCCAGGAGCUGCGGGUACUGGGGACUGAAUGCUCAGAAUCGCUGAGCUGUCUCUCCAGCCUCCUUUCACUGCUAGUACUAGUAACUUAAUAUUUGUAUGUGUAUUUGCCUGGGAGUAUGUUUGUGCACUAGAUAGGUGCUUGGCCAGAAGGCAUCAGGUCUCCUGGAACUGGAGUCACAGGUGGUUGUGAGCCACCAUGUAGGUACUGGGAGCAGAACCGGGUUCCUCUGCAAAAGCAACUGGUGUGCCCUUAACCACUUAUAAUUCUCCAGCCCUGAUAUUGGCAGUUUUUAUAUGUUCUUCACUAAUCUGGCUACAAGUUGACCAGUUUUUGGUUUUUUUUGUUGUUUUUUUAAGAAUUUAUUUAUUUAUUUUAUAUAUAUGAUGAGUAUGCUGUAGCUGUCUUCAGACACACCAGAAGAGGGCAUCAGAUCCCAUUACACAUGGCUGUGAGACACCAUGAGGUUGCUGGAAAACAGUCAGUGCUCUUAACUGCUGAGCCAUCUCUUCAACACCCUGUUAGUUUUUUUGUUUUUUUGUUUUUUAAAUAAAAGUAUACAUAUACAUUUUAAAUUUUAUAUUUAUUUUAUGUUUUCAUUUUUUCUGCCUGUAAUUCUGUGCCCCAUUCCCAUUCAGUGUUUGCAGGUGCCAAAGGAAGGUGUCAGAUCUUUUGGAACUGGAGUUAAGGGUGGUGGUGAGCUACCACAUAGGUGCAGGGAAAUGAACCCUUGGUCCUUUGCAAGAACAGCCAGUACAUGUAACCUGUGAACCAUCUCUCUAGCCUAUUAAGGUUUUAUAGCUGAAAAUAUGCCCUUCUCCCUUUAAAAAAAAAAAAGUGCUGGAUAUAUCAGUUUCUCUUUUUUUGUCUGUGUGACUUCAAAGUGCCAAAUAUGUAAAACAACCAGAGGCCAGCUAUGGUGGCACAGGCCUUUAAUCCCAGCACUUGGGAGGCAGAGGCAGGUAAAUCUCUUGAGUUCGAGGACAGCCUGGUCUACAGAGUGAGUUCCAGGACAGUUAGGGCUCUGUUACCCAGAGAACCCGGUCUUGAAAAAGCAAAGCAAAGCAAACC